UACCCCACUAUGCCUAGCCAUAAACUUUGAUUAUCCGCCAGAGUACUACGAGCCACAGCUUAAAACUCAAAGGACUUGGCGGUGCUUUAUACCCCCCUAGAGGAGCCUGUUCUAUAAUCGAUAAUCCACGAUAAACCUCACCAUCUAUUGCCAAUACAGCCUAUAUACCACCGUCCAGCCCGCCCUUUAAAGGAAAGACAGCAGGCAUAAUAAUCAACAUUAACACGUCAGGUCAAGGUGUAGCAGAUAAGAUGGAAAGAAAUGGGCUACAUUUUCUAAUUUAGAAAACACGAAUGAUUCUAUGAAAUAAUUUCUGAAGGAGGAUUUAGCAGUAAAAAGAAACAAGAAUGUUCUUUUGAAGCUGGCAAUAAAGCGCGCACACACCGCC
rnacentral:rRNA from 1 species